GAAGGUGUUCUUGUGAAUUGGGUGUGAAUCUUGUCUAUCCUCUUCAGUUAACGAUGCUACUGUAAAAUGAUACUACAUUAUUUUAUGAUGCAGCACUUAACCAUAAUUUACUUUAAAGACUUGAUCUACUUUAUAUAAACUUUUAUGAUUGUGUUUCAUGAUCACAUUUCCUUUAUUCAUUUCUAUUGUUUGUGAAAUAGGUGCUGCCCUGGUUGACAGAUAG
rnacentral:misc_RNA from 1 species